CAGUAGCCGCGGUAAUACGAAGGUCCCGAGCGUUGUUCGGAAUCACUGGGCGUAAAGGGAGCGUAGGCGGCGUGGUAAGUCAGAUGUGAAAUCCCGGGGCUCAACCCCGGAACUGCAUCCGAUACUGCCUUGCUAGAGGAUUGGAGAGGUAGCUGGAAUUCUUGGUGUAGCAGUGAAAUGCGUGGAGAUCAAGAGGAACACUCGUGGCGAAAGCGAGCUACUGGACAAUAUCUGACGCUGAGGCUCGAAGGCCAGGGUAGCGAAAGGGAUUAGAUACCCCCGUAGUCCCUGUCUCUUAUAC
rnacentral:rRNA from 1 species